CAGACCCUCUACAACAGUUCUCUUUCAGAAAGAUUCUCAAAUUUGAUUGAGAAUAUUUCAUUGGCAGUCGCAUGAAUAUGUAUGAACAUAAGGAGGGAAAAGCUAUGUGCUAACAUUUUAAACUAAGUGGUUCAUACCAAGGGGAAAAGACGUGUGAAAUAUCAUCCUCCCGUUCGGUUUUCUAUCAUAAAAGUUCACAAAUCUGGUGGAGUAUUGCAAACGAAUGAAAGCGACAUUUUGGCCGGACUGGGAGGACUGCAUCACGGUGGAAGGAACUAAAACUGCAACAAAAUGACACGAGAACUUAUUAAAUGGUCCUGAUGAACGUCAGUUGUUAAACCGGAAGUUAAUGAUGAUCCACGUUGCAUGAUCCUAACGUCGUUGUAAUCCUCUGAAGAAAAGAUGUCAGUAAAAAUAAAGAAUGCAUGAAGAUACCACACCAAACUAGAAUGCACACUAAACUGAUGUAAAUGACGUUUAUUGAUGAUGAAUAAUGUGACGUCAUUAUUUUGAGUAAAGACACAAGCAUGAUUUGUUUAGACGUGUGAGACAUGACGUUGACAUUCAUCAUCUGAUUCAACCUUAAACCUCAGGACGCGGUAGCAGCGUGGUUAAAGCGUUGACUCACCAUGCCGGAGGUCCGGGUUUGAUUCCCAACAUGGGGAAACGUGUCCAAUAUGUUACCAGAAAGAUGUAAAUAAAUACGUGAUAUCGAAUAAAUUACCUACACCUGAAAUUCCUAAUUUUAUUCAAGGUCAAGCUGAUAUUCUAAAGGACGAACGUUUUGAAUACGAACUAUGUUUAUCCAUAGCAAACUUUUAAGAACAUGACGCUUCAAGAAUGGAAGAAUUUUGCCUUUUUGGAAUAUACAUGUGUGUGUCAGUGUCUAGAAGCUAAUAAAGGACUAUGAAUAAUCACGAUGAAUAUGAUUGUAUAAAUUAAGUGAUCUGUGA